GCUGGGCGUGGUGGCGCAUGCCUGUAAUCCCAGCUACUGGGGAGGUUGAGGCACGAGAAUCACUUGAACCUGGGAGGCAGAGAUUGCAGUGAGCCGGGAGUGUGCCACUGCACUCCAGCCUGAGUGACAGAGGGAGACCUUGUCUCUU
ensembl:misc_RNA Metazoa_SRP Metazoan signal recognition particle RNA